UGGUCUGCAGCUGGCUACUGUGGAUUUGUAGGAGAGGAGCUAGCAUCACCAAUUAGUGGGAUUUGACAUGAGCAAGUGCUUUUAUUUGGAAGGAAAUAAAGAAUUGAAAGGAAGAUGACCACGGCCCCUCUGUUCCCUCGCCUGUGUGCCAAAUGGAUCCACAGCUAGAGACAAGCUCCUUCCCUUUGAACGGUGGGAAGCAGGCCAAGAUGUUUUAAAGACAGAUGGCAUCAGCUGCAGAGAAGCAAGCUGGAACUCGGAGCACAGCUGCCUUAUUUACUUACCUACUGGCUGCAUUUCUGAGAACCAGUUUUAUUCCUGUUCAAAGGAAGCCAGGCAGAGUUGGGAAAAUAUUUUCCUAGCCAGCUCCUUAGCACCACUGUCUGAGGGAAACCAUCUGGCCAAGAUGCCCUUCAA